rnacentral:rRNA from 1 species
GUUUGAUCCUGGCUCAGAACGAACGCUGGCGGCGUGGAUAAGACAUGCAAGUCGAACGAGACUUUUCGUUGUAGCAAUACGAUGGAAAGUUUAGUGGCGAACGGGUGCUUAACACGUGGGCAACCUGCCAUGAAGUGGGGGAUAGCUCGCCGAAAGGCGAAUUAAUACCGCAUGUGAUUAGAGAGGACAUCCUUUUCGAAAUUAAAGUCGGGGCAACCUGACGCUUCUUGUGGGGCCCGCGGCCUAUCAGCUAGUUGGUGAGGUAACGGCUCACCAAGGCUUUGACGGGUAGCUGGUCUGAGAGGACGACCAGCCACACUGGGACUGAGACACGGCCCAGACACCUACGGGUGGCAGCAGUCGAGAAUUUUUGACAAUGGGGGAAACCCUGAUCGAGCGACGCCGCGUGGAGGAUGAAGGUCUUCGGAUUGUAAACUCCUGUCAUUUGGGAACAAGGUGCACACGUUAACUGCGUGCGUAUUGAUAGUACCAGAAGAGGAAGAGACGGCUAACUCUGUGCCAGCAGCCGCGGUAAUACAGAGGUCUCAAGCGUUGUUCGGAUUCAUUGGGCGUAAAGGGUGCGUACGCGGCGCGGUAAGUCGGGUGUGAAAUCUCGGAGCUUAACUCCGAAACUGCAUUCGAUACUGCCGUGCUUGAGGACUGGAGAGGAGACUGGAAUUUAUGGUGUAGCGGUGAAAUGCGUAGAUAUCGUAAGGAAGACCAGUGGCGAAGGCGGGUCUCUGGACAGUUCCUGACGCUGAGGCACGAAGGUCAGGGGAGCAAACUGGAUUAGAUACCCCGGUAGUCCUGACAGUAAACGGUGCACGUUUGGUGUGGGAGGAUUCGACCCCUUCUGC